GAUGAACGCUGGCGGCGUGCUUAACACAUGCAAGUCGAGCGAGUGAGUUCUUCGGAACGAUCUAGCGGCGGACGGGUGAGUAACACGUUGGCAACCUGCCUCAUAGAGGGGAAUAGCCUCCCGAAAGGGAGAUUAAUACCGCAUAAAAUUAUCGAGUGGCAUCACACGGUAAUCAAAGGAGUAAUCCGCUAUGAGAUGGGCCCGCGGCGCAUUAGCUAGUUGGUGAGGUAACGGCUCACCAAGGCGACGAUGCGUAGCCGACCUGAGAGGGUGAUCGGCAACAUGGGGACUGAGACACGGCCCAGACUCCUACGGGAGGCAGCAGUGGGGAAUAUUGCACAGUGGGGGAAACCCUGAUGCAGCAACUCCGCGUGAGUGAUGAAGGUCUUCGGAUUGUAAAGCUCUGUCUUCGGGGACGAUAAUGACGGUACCCGAGGAGGAAGCCACGGCUAACUACGUGCCAGCCGCCGCUGUAA
rnacentral:rRNA from 1 species